rnacentral:rRNA from 1 species
UGGGGAAUAUUGCACAAUGGGCGCAAGCCUGAUGCAGCCAUGCCGCGUGUGUGAAGAAGGCCUUCGGGUUGUAAAGCACUUUCAGCGAGGAGGAAGGUGGUGAGCUUAAUACGCUCAUCAAUUGACGUUACUCGCAGAAGAAGCACCGGCUAACUCCGUGCCAGCAGCCGCGGUAAUACGGAGGGUGCAAGCGUUAAUCGGAAUUACUGGGCGUAAAGCGCACGCAGGCGGUUUGUUAAGUCAGAUGUGAAAUCCCCGGGCUCAACCUGGGAACUGCAUUUGAAACUGGCAAGCUAGAGUCUCGUAGAGGGGGGUAGAAUUCCAGGUGUAGCGGUGAAAUGCGUAGAGAUCUGGAGGAAUACCGGUGGCGAAGGCGGCCCCCCUGGACGAAGACUGACGCUCAGGUGCGAAAGCGUGGGGAGCAAAACAGGAUUAGAUACCCUGGUAGUCCACGCUGUAAAACGAUGUCGAUUUUGGAGGUUGUGCCCUUGAGGCGUGGCUUCCGGAGCUAACGCGUUAAAUCGACCGCCUGGGGAGUACGGCC